rfam:Gossypium hirsutum cultivar TM-1 chromosome 14, whole genome shotgun sequence
CCUGAGGACGCGCUUUGCCUACGUGGCAACAAAGCGCGCUUACGUAGACGCGCUUUGUUGCCACGUAGGCAAAGUGCGCUGACGUGG